UGCGUAGGUGGUUUCUUAAGUCAGAGGUGAAAGGCUACGGCUCAACCGUAGUAAGCCUUUGAAACUGAGAAACUUGAGUGCAGGAGAGGAGAGUAGAAUUCCUAGUGUAGCGGUGAAAUGCGUAGAUAUUAGGAGGAAUACCAGUUGCGAAGGCGGCUCUCUGGACUGUAACUGACACUGAGGCACGAAAGCGUGGGGAAGCAAACA
rnacentral:rRNA from 1 species